rnacentral:lncRNA from 1 species
UCUGAAUUUAACAGUCCACAGUAGUCUUCUAGUCCAGCACAAUGAAACGUUUUUGCUGUCCAAUUCUAUGCCACAUCUUCUAGAUAAUCUGCAACAUCACUGAACUGAGAAAUGGUAUGGUCUUGUGUGAUGUCUUCAAGUUUAUCACUGGCAUUCAAGUCUUCUGUUUCCACAGAAAUUUCAUCUAUUUCUUCACCAAUACUGACAUCACUUUUCUCUGAGCGAUGGCUAGUACUGUUGAAGUCGUCAGCGUACUCAUCAUCAUCUCCAUUUCCUAAUUCUAAAGAUCCCAGUUUUGCAUUCACCAACCGCAGGUCUUUCAAAACAGAAUUUCUAUUCAAAUCAUCCGGCUCCUUUAGUGAAGGUGCACCAGUCAGAGAACUUAA